CCCCAGCGCCACAAGUGGGAAUCGCGUUUAUUUGGCCUAAAGCAUCCGUAGCUGGUUUUGUAAAUCCCUUGUGAAAUUGUUAGGCUCAACCUAACAGCGUGCAGGGGACACUGCAGAACUAGGGACCGGGAGGAGUCAGAGGUAUGUUGGGGGGAGCGGUAAAAUGCUAUAAUCCCCGAUAGACCACCUGUGGCGAAGGCGUCUGACUAGAACGGGUCCGACAGUGAGGGAUGAAAGCCAGGGGAGCAAACCG
rnacentral:rRNA from 1 species